AUCUGAGCUCCGAUUAUCAUCUCGCCGGAGCUUCAAUUUAGCAUCAUCAACCUAUCUUUCCGGUAUCUGAAUUAUUAUUCUUUUCUUAUUCGUAGUUUUCAUUAUCAUCAGGUACGUUUCAGAAUUUAAUCAGAUCUAAUUCUUUUUUUCUCUGAUCUACAAUCCCGCCAUAAUUCCCGAUCUGUGGACUAAAAUAAUUUCAAGUAAUAUACAAG
rnacentral:misc_RNA from 1 species